GACGAACGCUGGCGGCGUGCUUAACACAUGCAAGUCGAACGGUGAAGCUCCAGCUUGCUGGAGUGGAUCAGUGGCGAACGGGUGAGUAACACGUGAGCAACCUGCCCCUGACUCUGGAAUAAGCGCUGGAAACGGCGUCUAAUACUGGAUACGAGAAGGGUCCGCAUGGGCACUUUCUGGAAAGUUUUUCGGUUGGGGAUGGGCUCGCGGCCUAUCAGCUUGUUGGUGAGGUAAUGGCUCACCAAGGCGACGACGGGUAGCCGGCCUGAGAGGGCGACCGGCCACCCUGGGCCUGAGACACGGCCCAGACUCCUACGGGAGGCAGCAGUGGGGAAUAUUGCACAAUGGGCGCAAGCCUGAUGCAGCGACGCCGCGUGCGGGAUGACGGCCUUCGGGUUGUAAACCUCUUUCAGCAGGGAAGAAGCGAAAGUGACGGUACCUGCAGAAGAAGCACCGGCUAACUACGUG
rnacentral:rRNA from 1 species